rnacentral:lncRNA from 1 species
GCUGGCGCCGCCGCCUCCAAGAGGUCUGACUCCUGCAGCUACUCACCAGGGUCGGGUAAUUCACUUCUUGCAAGGACUCGGCCAGAGGAGAGGUUAAGACCGCGAACAUAGAGCUGACUGCCGCCGCGCCCCGAGCCCAGACAGCCCCUCCUCCCCGAAGGCGCGCGCACAGCGUUCCGGGCGCUUUCAGGGGCGGGACGGGUGGGGGCGGGGUCACGGAGCGGGCGGGGCUCGGGGUCUUCCGGAGCCUCCGGUCGCGGGUCUAAGAGGACUAGGGCGGGAGCGGCGCGGAAGAAAGAGAGGACUGCGUUUUGGGGCGUUCUGUCAGAGGGGAAGGACGUGUGGAUUGGAGUCAGACUGCACUCCCGCCCUAUUUCUGCAAGUAGAACUCACUGCCUUUAGAAACGGUCUUCUGAGGCUCUGUUGGGAGGCUCUAACUGUAUUACAGAGGACACAUUUUUGUUUGUUUUUAUGUGAAACAUUCAGAAGUUGCUUGCAUCAAGUGCUUUACAAGUACACUGGUUUUCAAACUUUUAAAGUUGAGGAACUGUUUUGAUUUUUGUAAAAAUAGAACUUUACUUGGAAGCCCAAGGUAGGCAGAUGGAGAUGGCGUUUUUAAUUUGCGAAUGUAUUCUAUAAAAUCACAUCUGUACUGAAGUACUAGAAAUAAUUGAGGAUAAGUCAGAUGUGAAGAGCAAGAACUUUUGAAAUAGGAUUACAACUGAAGGUUUCCAUCUUACAUUAGCUUCAGAAAACAAGAAAAUGCUAUCUUUUGUUUGGUUACAUAGUAACAGGAAGUCCUUAUUCAAGCUAGAACUUGCUGAUGUGAACAGUUUCAUAAGGGCUCUCCUUAAAAAGAUUUUGUACACCAAUUUUAAUUGGGAAAUAUACAUAUGAGUAUAUCUCAUGUGCAUAUCUUAAAGAAGAAUGAAAAAUGCCCAGGUACCCACUACAGAGCUUAAGAAAAAAAAAAUGCCAGUAUUUUUGGAGUCUUCUAGAAAGAAGACUCUCUAAAAACAUCUCCUUCCUUCCGUUCACCAUUAUGCUGAAUUUUAUAUUACUCAUUCCGUUGUAUUUCUGAAAAUAGUUACAUAUGUACGAUUCCCUAAAAAUACUAUUUUCCUAGUUUUAUAUUUCAUAUGUGAAUCAUUCUUCAUUUUUCCCCUUUUUUCACUAAUUUAGGUUUUGAGAGGUUUUGAGAUUCGUCUGUAUACAAGUCCAUUUCCCAUAAACUAGACUGGCACAUCGUUACCCUUAUGCUAUUGUUAGACUUUUUAAGUUUUUGCUGAUAAGAGCAUCUGAUUGCUCUUUUAAUUUGCAUUUUCCCUUUUGCUAAAGCCUGUUCUUAAUUUUAUCUCAUUUUUUAUUAAAUUGCUUGCUUUUGAAAAUUAUUUUGUAGAUAAUAUUUAUUUUUUCUAGUUUAAUUCUCUCUUGUAAGUUACAUGUGUUGCAAAUGUCUUCUCUUAGUUUAUGGACUGUCUUUCCAGUUUUUAUGAUGUUUCUUGAUUGCCAAAAGCUUUAUGCUUCAGUAUACAGCUUUUUGAAUUUAAUAAUAUUUUACAUUUUAAUUUUGUGCUUUUUGCUUUCUUGCUUACAAGAUUCUUCCCAACAUAACAUCAGAAACUAUUCUUUCUUCUACAAGUUUAAAAGUUUAAUUGUAGCAACUUUAAACACAGAAAGGACAAAUAAUAAUAUAAUGAACACCCAUGCACUCAACUCUAUGUAUUAAAACAUUUUGCAAACCCCUCCUCCUAAUGAUUCUUGUCUAAAAUUGCCUUAACUAUACUUGGCUCUUUACUCUUUCAUUGAAAUUUUAGGAUGAGCCAGCCAAGAUCCAUUUAAAAAAUUGGAUUUCAAUUGGGCAUUUUAUUCAACUUGAGAAUUGCAUUUAGAGAUUUAGUGAAAUGUCUUCUUAUCUAUGAACAUGGUAUAUUUAUUUUAUUCAGGUACUUUAUGUGCUACUAUGCUUUGUAAUUUAUUGAGUAUCUUUCAUUAUAUUGCCUCCUAGUUUUAUUACUAAAAUUAGAGAUCUCUCUCUUUAAACUCUAUUUUCUAAUUGUUUAGUAACAUUGUAUUAAAAGAGCAUCAAUUUCAAUAUAUUGGUACUAUCUCCAGAAGCUUCGCUGAAUUUUUUUGAUUGCUUGCUUUAUUUCCCUGUUACAUCUUUGGAUGACCUAUAUAGGUAAUCAUAUCAUUUGUAAAUAAGAAUAAUGGUUUCCUUCUUUCUCUCUUUUCAAACCACUUAUUAUUCAGUUUUUUCUUUUAUUUAUUAACAGAGCAUCCAGUGCAAUGUUUAAUGGAAGUAAUAAUGGCAUUCUUGUCCCAUUCCUCACUUUACUGCAAUACUGCUAACAUUUUAUAAUGAUAACAAUGUUUGCUGUGGGUUUUUGGUAAAUACUUUAUCAAGAUUAUUAAGUGUUCUGUUUCCAGUUCAUAAUGUAUUGUUGUUUGCUUUUUUUUAACCAUGAGUGACAGUUUAAUUGAUUAAAUGCUUUUUCUGCACCUAUUGAGAUAAUCAUUGUUUCCUAUUCUAAUAUAUUUAUGGGAAUGAUUAAUACAUUUUCUGAUGUCAAAUGAGAGGGAGAGGAUUUUAUUUUAUAAAUAUGUUAAUGCAUGCUCACUUGCUUAAAAACUGGGUACUUUAUGACUGCCAGUGUAAAUAAAUUAGGCAAGUAGAUUCUCAUUGCAUCACACUCUAUUCAUUGCACAAUGGUGUUUAUAAACUGGAUUAGAAUUGCUGCUAGUGCCUCAUCUUGUAACUCUGACUGCUCUACCUAUCCCCUGCUAUUGUCAGGGAAUGUUGAGAUGGCAAUGAUAGAAAUAAUGUUGUUAAUAUUCUUUUUUUCUUUCACAUCACUUUUUUUCACAGUGUUUUUAUGUAGAAUUUUUUUUUUUUACUUGACAUCACUGGAAAGUCAGCAAUGUUUUGUUGUAAUUAUCACAUAUAGAAUGUUAUUACAUUCUGAAUCUUGAUUUUGUUUUCAAAUAUGGGAUGGCCAUAAUAACUGCCACAUCCAAUUUUUUUAUCUCUCAUAUAUACAUAUAGAUUUAAUUAGUUCAAUAAUUUCCUGAAUGUAAACAAUGUAGAAUUUAGUAAAUUAAUAAGCACUGAUGGGAAAGGUCUCCAAGAUAAAUGAGCAAGUGAUUAGUAUGUUAAUACUUACAAGAGAAAUUCACAUUAUAUUAAUAUAAAUUUUAAAUAUAUAUGUGCAUGUAUGAUAUAUAAAAAUAUCUGAAAGGAUAUAUGCAUUGUUACCUAUAGGGAUGUAACAGAAGGGGAAUGAAGGAGAAUUUUCUUUUUUACUCUCUGUAGUGCUGUUUUCUUUUUUAAUGUGAGCCCAUAUUUAUGUAUUUUUUAAUUAAAAAUACAGCACCAGAAGAAUAUGCCAUUUAUCUAAUAGAUGGUUUCUUGGAAAGAAAAAGAGCUGCAUAUAAAUUCAUUUGUGUAGUAAAUAGACAUUUUAAAUGUGUUGCAUCAGGGGUAAUCAGUCACUGAGAGUCCAAAGACAAAAAUGAUCCAAAGAAGGAAGAAUGGAGAAAAAAAAAAUCCCCCAUUUUUUUUUCUUUUUUGUCAAAUUCUUGUAUGGAAAGAUUCUAACACAAUAAACUAAUAGUAGCCUUUGGUUUAUCCUAAUUAGCAUUUAUUAAAAUCAUAGUCCCCACCCCACAAGAUCCUUCAGGUUAAUCCUAUCUUGCUACUAGAAAAGCGGCAGCCAUUUAUCUUAUCUUUUGGCAUCAGCAUUGAAGAGUCUUCUUUGUAUUUCCCAGACCUAAGCAGUUACACCUUCAACCAUCUUUUUCUUGCCUCUAUUUCAAUGGGCCCUAUUGUUUGUCUCCUGAUUAUUUCAUGUCUAUUUUUCCCUGUCCUAGAAGUUUCAUUAGUAUUUCCUAGCCAUAUGCCAUUUAUACCUUUGCUCAUUACUCCUGUCACUGAAGAUGAGAAAUCAAUUUCUGUCCAUAUCCUCUCCACUUACAUUAAUCAGAGAUAUAUUUUGUAAGCAAUAGAAAUUGAAUCUGGCAAACCUGAAAACAAAUAGACUAUGUAAAAAGUUACAGAAUUUAGCAUGAAGAUGAAGGCUAGUACAUUAGGUAAUGGCAAUGGAUAGGAAACAAGAGGGGCUAGGAAAUUGGGAACACAGCCUCAUAUAACAGUACAGAUUAGGGCACUGCUGCUUUCAGGGCUGCACUGAUCUCAAAGCUGCUGACACCACUAUGAGUGACUUCUCAACUCUGUGUUGUCUACCUCGUUGCUUCAAGAUUCAAAUUUUGGAUUGAGAUCAUUUGAUUAGCUUACUCUAGGCUGUAUGUCUUUUCCUCCUUAGCCUCCUUGAAGUAGAGCCCAGAACUUUUGGCUUUAAUGGGAAAUUGGGCACAAAACACAGAAUACAUUAUUCUUCCAAAACCUGAAGGAUUUUUAGAUUCUAAGUAGUAACAAAAUAAAAUAAACUAAAUCCCCAAACAAUAGUCCAAUUAUCCAUCACAGUAUGCUUCACUGUCCAUAUAAAGUCUACUUUCUCCCUUACUAUUUUAUACUUACUGUUUUAUUCUUUUAAUCCCUAUACAUUUAUAGGGAGUAAUAUGAAACAGCAAUAAUUUCUUAAUUAACUAAAUUGUUCUGUUCUUUUUAUCAUAUCUGGUAUCUGUGAAGGUGUAACUAAGGUAUUCCUUGACACAGUUUGGGAUGCAAAGAAUGUAACUCCAAUAGUGCCAUGAGUAAAACACUAAAGUUUCCACCAAUUUAUAGCAGUAGAUAAUUCAGAGAGCCAAACUCAUUGUUUCCCCUAAUGCUCUGAUCCUUUCACUGUACCUACCAGCAUCCUGACAGCAAGGAAUCCAUUCUAACUCUAUCCCACAUAAAUUCACGAACUAUUAUCAGACCAAGGAAAAAACUUGCCUUGGUAGGUCAUGAUUAAAAUUCACUGGCCUCGUAGUGGUCACAGGUUUUAGGGUGACUUCUUGAUGCAUUAGAUAAGGCUCUUCUAAGAAUUGAUGUACAUAACCCAGAAUUAAACUCAGUGUAGGUAACUUCUAACUAAACAGGCCAAGCCCCUUUGGUGAAAGUUUUUCUCAUUCUCUGAUCCAAGUACUUGCCCAGGUGAUGGCCCUCCUGAGUGACAGAGAUGGGAGAGCGUUCUGCCUUCCCAAAUAAAGAAGGCAGAAAGUUCACCUCUGGUUGAAUGGUGCUGUUAAAUGCUAAUGCAUUGAUUGACUAUAUAUGGAACAUUUCUCCUUAAGGAAACCCUAUCCUGAAGGAAACCCUAUUCUGCAAACAGGCAUGGUGGCAGCUAAGGGAGAUGCAUGUCUUUAGUGGAAACCAGAGCCAGCAGGGAGAUGUAGCACUUCCUGAGUUCGGAAAUGACUCCACCAGUUGAUAUAGGGCCUCUCAGUGUGUUGAAGGAAGGAAGUCCUAUGUUUUAUGAUUGAGCAUUAGUGUCAUACUACAAUCAGCCACUCCCCAAAUGUUGCAUCACUGAAACUCCAGGUUUCACAGAGAAUUUCCUAAGGUAUUAGGUUUGAGUUUCUUCCUUCGUGGGAUGCUAUGGAUUCUUUAACCAAACCAACCUAAUCUUUCUCCUGCCAUAGUACCACCUUCUCCUGCCAUGCAAAAAGAAGCAGUUUGCAAAAGUCAGUAAAAGAAAAAAAAAAUGCCUUGUUAUUUCUCAAAAUGAUGGGCUCACUUGUCUUCUAUUUAUAUAAGAGAGACCACAGUAAUUAUUCUCAACAGUAUCAGCUACAAGGUGAUUUUCUGUGCCUGCGUAUUCUAAGAAGUAGCUGGCAAUUUCUCUUGUUAAAAGAGAAAAAGAAAAAAACAUGCACUUACUCGCUGAUAAACAUUUUUCUGUUAGAGAACCCAAUUAAAUAGCAGGCCUGUGUUGUGUACGUCUUUUAUACACCCUGUAAUGCCAGGUUCCAUGAAGGCAGUUCCAGAGAUAGUCUAAUUCAGAGCUGGGGCUCCAACUCCCAACACAUAGUAGGUGCUUGUAGUAGGAUGAUAAUAAUUCCCAAAGAUACAGAGGUCCUAAUCCUCUGAACCAGUGAGUAAUAAUUCAAAUGGCAAAAGGGACUUUGCAGGUGUGAGGAAGGAUCUUGAGAUGAGAGUUGUCUUGAUGGACCCUAAAUAUAGUCACACAUGUCUUUAUAACAGGGAGGCAAAGGGAGAUUUGACAAAGAAGGCGGCAAUGGGACUACUGAAACAAAAUGCUAGGCUGCUGGCUUUGAAGAUCAGACUAGGGACCAAAAGUAAAGGAACGCAAGCAUUUCAUUCAAGCUCUAAAAGCCAGAAAAGGCAAGAAAAACCUUCAGAAGGGAGAGUGACCAUAAUAAUACCUCAAUUUCAGCCCAGUGAAACUGACUUCAGACUUCUGACCUCCUGAACUGCAGGAGAAUAAAUGUAUGCUUUUUAAGCUACCAAGUUUCUGGUAAUUUGUUCUAGCAGCCACAGGAAACUAAUACAGUUUUCAACAAAUAUGUGUUGAAUAAAUAAAUCAAUGAACAGUAGGGAUUCAAUAAAUAUUACAUUAAUUAUAAGAUGCCCAGAUUGUUUCUUUGAAUGUGAGAGAAACAUCAUUCUUUAAAUGUAUCUGCAAAGUAAAAGCUAAUUGCAUUAAUAUAAACUGAGUUGUUAUUUACCAAUUUUUAUUCUGGCUGUUUUUGUUUUGGUUUGUUGAGAUGGGCAAAUAUGUUAGCUUCAUAAUAAUUGGUUUUAUUUGAUUAUGCUUUUAUUCACAAUGUUGAGGGGUGCCUACUUUCAGAAAACAUAUAUUCAUCACAAAUCUCUACCUCCUAGGAGUUUGCCGUCUACCAAGAAACACAGAGAUAUACAGUGUGUGGUUUAUAUUGAUUAUCUGCUUACCACUGUUUGGAUUACUUUAAUUAUUUUUGUAUAUGUCUAUAUCUCAAAAGAGUUUGUGCCCCUGCAAGGCAGUCUUUUCUGCAUUCAUCUAUUUACAGCAUCUAUCACAAUGCUUUCCACAUAGCAAGACUUCAGAAAUAUUUAGUUGAAUGUAUCUAGUGGCCAGAAAUUCAUGCUUUAUUGACUGAAUAAGGAAUGAAGGAAACACAGUGUAAGAGUAUGUGUGUGGGAGUGUGUGUGUGUGUGUGUGUU